rnacentral:rRNA from 1 species
GACGAACGCUGGCGGCGUGCUUAACACAUGCAAGUCGAACGGAAAGGCCCUGCUUUUGUGGGGUGCUCGAGUGGCGAACGGGUGAGUAAUACGUGAGUAACCUGCCCUUGACUUUGGGAUAACUUCAGGAAACUGGGGCUAAUACCGGAUAGGAGCUCCUGCUGCAUGGUGGGGGUUGGAAAGUUUCGGCGGUUGGGGAUGGACUCGCGGCUUAUCAGCUUGUUGGUGGGGUAGUGGCUUACCAAGGCUUUGACGGGUAGCCGGCCUGAGAGGGUGACCGGCCACAUUGGGACUGAGAUACGGCCCAGACUCCUACGGGAGGCAGCAGUGGGGAAUAUUGCACAAUGGGCGGAAGCCUGAUGCAGCAACGCCGCGUGCGGGAUGACGGCCUUCGGGUUGUAAACCGCUUUCGCCUAUGACGAAGCGUGAGUGACGGUAAUGGGUAAAGAAGCACCGGCUAACUACGUG